ACACUGAACUAGUUCUGGAAGUUCUUCUGUUUUUUCUGAUUAUUAAUUAAGCAUAUCCCUUACCGGGUUCACCACUAUUUUGUAAUUGACCCACGAUCUAGCUCAUCAACAUGAGGUAUAAGGUGUUAGACCUGACACCGGAUAAUCUAAAUCUCUUCCUUAGCAUGUAAUAUUAACUCUUGAGUCAUUUGAUUUGUCUCUACAUUAGUACUGUGAUACAAAUACCUAAUGUAUGUUGUUGUUGUUCCUGCUGCAUUUCCGGUUAAAACUUUACAUAUGUGUAUUUCAGAAAGUUCUGACCAGUCUGAUGCAAAUAGGAAGAAAUAUGCCCACUAACUUUUUCCUGAUCAAGGUUGGAUGCACAACUUCAUUCGCAUGUUUUACAUUAUUAGCGAAGAGCUGCUAAAAAAUAACACUUGAAAGUGUUUGGGUCAAAUUCAUGUUUUGCUUUGUCUAUCCACAUUAUCAUUCAUGCAGAAUAUCUGCUUUUGUUUGCUGAAAUCAGUGUGAGUAACAGCAUGAAUUACACAUUAUUGCUUUUGCAGGAGUAUUUCCGCAUUCCUCUAUCUCAUCUGAGAUCAGUGCUCAGUGCAGCAGACAGCAUAAUCGUGAGGGAGAUUCUGCUGUACUAUAACAGGAACACAGCCACUUUGCAGCUAACAGAUGAUUACCUGCACACCAUGGUGUCUGUGCUUUUCCAAAUACACCUGCCCAAGGAUAUUAGCCUGUUUUCUGACAUGGGUAUUUUGUUGGCUCUAGCUACACCUUCAGACAUCUUGUCAAUGCCGCUACAAAAUAAUAUCAAUGCGUUAAGCAUAAUUAACUUCAGCAUAAAAAACCUUUCCCUGGAGCAGCAGCAAGCGUUUGGUCGGUGGUUCAGUCAGUCCAUGAGCUUACCUAACAUGACAGCCGGCAGCUUAUCCGUUAUCAGAGACACUGGUAACCUGAUCGCCUAUCUGCCCUUUCAGAGCUUCCAGUACUUCUCACCUGCUCAGGUAACAGCCCAUCACCUCACAAAGAUACCUGAACCCAUCUGGCUCCAGUUAACCCUCAGGCAGCUCAUCUGGGGAAAAUGCCAAUGCUUGCCACAGGUUCAUUGUAACAGACAUGCCCUUGUAGUCUGUUUUCAAUAAAUAAACGCAGAAAUGCAUGAAUUUAGAAUGGCUGUGUGGUGGACUGUGGUGCUAACACCGUAAUGAAGAGUUCUUCACUACUGUUCAUAUAAACAGGAUAUUUCAGAAUUCUCAAAUUUAAUACGAAAUAUAUAGAAUGGUUCAUAUUUCAUACACCAGACAAAAUGAGUAUACGAUUUACCUUGAAGCACUCAGAAAUUGCUAGUCAGUUUCACAAAUAAUGCAAUAAAGUAAGAAAUCAUUUUGAAGUCA
ensembl:lncRNA